rnacentral:rRNA from 1 species
GAGACCCACGCCAACAGUUGCCAGCACGUUCUCCGGAAUGGUGGGGACACUGUUGGGACCGCCUCUGCUAAAGAGGAGGAAGGAAUGGGCAACGGUAGGUCAGCAUGCCCCGAAUUACCCGGGCUACACGCGGGCUACAAUGGACAGGACAAUGGGAAUCGACACCGAGAGGUGAAGGCAAUCCCCUAAACCUGCCCUUAGUUCGGAUUGUGGGCUGCAACUCGCCCGCAUGAAGCUGGAAUCCGUAGUAAUCGCGGAUCAACAUUCCGCGGUGAAUAU